GAUGAACGCUAGCGGCAGGCUUAAUACAUGCAAGUCGUGGGGCAGCAGGGGUAGCAAUACCCGCUGGCGACCGGCAAACGGGUGCGGAACGCGUACGCAACCUUCCUUUAACUGGAGAAUAGCCCCUCGAAAGAGGGAUUAAUACUCCGUAACAUAUACAUGUGGCCUCACAAGUAUAUUAUAGCUCCGGCGGUUAAAGA
rnacentral:rRNA from 1 species